rnacentral:rRNA from 1 species
GUCGAACGCUGGCGGCGUGCCUAAUACAUGCAAGUCGAGCGAAACUGCUGUUUGGUGAGUAACGCGUGGGUAACCUGCCCUUAAGUCUGGGAUACCAUUUGGAAACAGAUGCUAAUACCGGAUACUAAUGGAUGGAUCGGCGAUGCAUUAGCUCGUUGGUACGGUAACGGCUUACUAAGGCGAUGAUUCAUAGCCGGUUUGAGAGACUGACCGGCCACAUGGUGACUGAGACACGGCCCAGACUCCGACGGGAGGCAGCAGUAGGGAAUAUUGCACAAUGGACGCAAGUCUGAUGGAGCAACGCCGCGUGAGUGAAGAAGGUUUUCGGAUCGUAAAGCUCUGUUAUUGGUGAAGCGGUAAUCAACCAGAAAGUCACGGCUAACUCCGUGCCAGCAGCCGCGGUAAUUC